rnacentral:rRNA from 1 species
GACGAACGCUGGCGGCGUGCUUAACACAUGCAAGUCGAACGAUGAAGCCGGAGCUUGCUCUGGUGGAUUAGUGGCGAACGGGUGAGUAACACGUGAGUAACCUGCCCAUGACUCUGGGAUAACUGCGGGAAACUGUAGCUAAUACCGGAUACGACCCUCGGAGGCAUCUCCUGGGGGUGGAAAGAAUUUCGGUCAUGGAUGGACUCGCGGCCUAUCAGCUAGUUGGUGAGGUAAAGGCUCACCAAGGCGACGACGGGUAGCCGGCCUGAGAGGGUGACCGGCCACACUGGGACUGAGACACGGCCCAGACUCCUACGGGAGGCAGCAGUGGGGAAUAUUGGGCAAUGGAGGAAACUCUGACCCAGCGACGCCGCGUGCGGGAUGAAGGCCUCGGUGUAAGCUCUUUGUCUAGGGAAGAACAGCAGCUCUAACACAGUCUGCGAAUGACGGUACCU